rnacentral:rRNA from 1 species
UAGGGAAUCUUCGGCAAUGGACGGAAGUCUGACCGAGCAACGCCGCGUGAGUGAAGAAGGUUUUCGGAUCGUAAAGCUCUGUUGUAAGAGAAGAACGAGUGUGAGAGUGGAAAGUUCACACUGUGACGGUAUCUUACCAGAAAGGGACGGCUAACUACGUGCCAGCAGCCGCGGUAAUACGUAGGUCCCGAGCGUUGUCCGGAUUUAUUGGGCGUAAAGCGAGCGCAGGCGGUUAGAUAAGUCUGAAGUUAAAGGCUGUGGCUUAACCAUAGUAGGCUUUGGAAACUGUUUAACUUGAGUGCAAGAGGGGAGAGUGGAAUUCCAUGUGUAGCGGUGAAAUGCGUAGAUAUAUGGAGGAACACCGGUGGCGAAAGCGGCUCUCUGGCUUGUAACUGACGCUGAGGCUCGAAAGCGUGGGGAGCAAACAGGAUUAGAUACCCUGGUAGUCCACGCUGUAAACGAUGAGUGCUAGGUGUUAGACCCUUUCCGGGGUUUAGUGCCGUAGCUAACGCAUUAAGCACUCCGCCUGGGGAGUACGACCGCAAGGUG